rnacentral:tRNA from 1 species
GAGGGUAUAGCUUAGUGGUAGAGCACAUGCUUAGCAUGCAUGAGGUUGCAGGUUCAAUCCCCAGUACCUCUA